rnacentral:tRNA from 1 species
CCCUGACAGCCUCAGUUGGUAAAGAAUCUGCCUGCAAUGCAGGAGAUGCUGGUUCGAUUCCUGGGUCAGGAA